CCUACGGGUGGCUGCAGUAAGGAAUAUUGGUCAAUGGACGAAAGUCUGAACCAGCCAUGCCGCGUGAAGGAUGAAGGUCCUCUGGAUUGUAAACUUCUUUUAUCUGGGACGAAAAAAGGGAAUUCUUUCUCACUUGACGGUACCAGAAGAAUAAGCACCGGCUAACUCCGUGCCAGCAGCCGCGGUAAUACGGAGGGUGCAAGCGUUAUUGGGAUUCACGGGGGUGAAGGUGGGCGGUGAAGGGCAGUUUGAAAUCUCCGGGCUUAACCCGGGAACUGCCAUUGAUACUAUCUGUCUUGAAUACUCUGGAGGUAAGCGGAAUAUGUCAUGUAGCGGUGAAAUGCUUAGAUAUGACAUAGAACACCGAUUGCGAAGGCAGCUUACUACGGAGUCAUUGACACUGAGGCACGAAAGCGUGGGGAUCAAACAGGAUUAGAUACCCUAGUAGUC
rnacentral:rRNA from 1 species